CCAAUAGCGUAUAUUAAAGUUGUUGCAGUUAAAAAGCUCGUAGUUGAAUUUCGGGAUCAAUAUGUCGGUCGUGCCUUCGGUACGUACUGGUAUCAUUGGUCUCUCCUUUCUGACGAACCAUGAUGUCAUUAAUUUGGUGUUAUGGGGAGUUAGGACUGUUACUUUGAAAAAAUUAGAGUGUUUAAAGCAGGCUUUAGCUUGAAUACAUUAGCAUGGAAUAAUGAAAUAGGACGUUCGAACCUAUUUUGUUGGUUUCUAGGAUCAACGUAAUGAUUAAUAGGGAUAGUUGGGGGCAUUAGUAUUUAAUUGUCAGAGGUGAAAUUCUUGGAUUUAUUGAAGACUAACUACUGCGAAAGCAUUUGCCAAGGAUGUUUCCAUUAAUCAAGAACGAAAGUUAGGGGAUCGAAGACGAUCAGAUACCGUCGUAGUCUUAACCAUAAACUAUGCCGACUAGGGAUCGGAUGAUGUUAAUUUUUUAAUGACUCAUUCGGCGCCUUACG
rnacentral:rRNA from 1 species